UACGUAGGUCCCGAGCGUUGUCCGGAUUUAUUGGGCGUAAAGCGAGCGCAGGUGGUUUAUUAAGUCUGGUGUAAAAGGCAGUGGCUCAACCAUUGUAUGCAUUGGAAACUGGUAGACUUGAGUGCAGGAGGGGAGAGUGGGAUUCCAUGUGUAGCGGUGAAAUGCGUAGAUAUAUGGAGGAACACCGGUGGCGAAAGCGGCUCUCUGGCCUGUAACUGACACUGAGGCUCGAAAGCGUGGGGAGCAAACAGG
rnacentral:rRNA from 1 species